UUUUGCUUGGUUUGGGGUUGGUUGAUUUGUAAAGUAGUGUAUUUCUGCUAGGAGGUUGGCAUUUCUGCUGGUUUGCAUUUAUUUAUUGAGAAGGGAAAUAAUUUCUUUGUUGUUGUAGUUAGCAAGUAAUGAAUUGUUUUUGAGUUUGAAAGUUUAUAGAUUAGGACUAUUUGACUUGAUUAUUCUUGUUCAAAGUAGCAAUAUUAGCAUAAAUUCCUUUACCCCUUUAUUUGAAUGGACACAUUAUAUGUUUGAUGCUAAUUGCCAAAGGGUGGUAAUUUUUUAGCCUCUGUUUGGAUGAUGGCGAAGGAGGUGUAAAUAAAGGUAAGGAGGUUUAGAAAUGGGUGAACUAACUCAAAUCUCAAUUUGUCUUACAGGAGAGUAAACUAUUUUAUUUCUUGAUUUGAGCCCAGAGAUUUAGUGCUGGUGCUGAAGCAUUAUGUGGACGUGCACACACUGCACAGAGAUCCUUUUUUUUUCUCCUUUUUUUUUUUCCUUUCUUUUGUG
rnacentral:misc_RNA from 1 species